rnacentral:rRNA from 1 species
AACGAACGCUGGCGGCGCGCUUAACACAUGCAAGUCGAACGAGAAGGCGUAGCAAUACGCUUGUAAAGUGGCGAACGGGUGAAGAAUACAUGGGUGACCUACCCUCGAGUGGGGAAUAACCCGCCGAAAGGCGGGCUAAUGCCGCGUACGCCUCCAUUCUCACGGGGAUGGAAGGAAAGCUGCACCGUGGGUGCGGCGCUCAAGGAUGGGCUCAUGUCCUAUCAGCNGUUGGCGGGGUAACGGCCCACCAAGGCUCCGACGGGUAGCUGGUCUGAGAGGACGAUCAGCCACACUGGC